ensembl:misc_RNA 7SK 7SK RNA
GGGCGGAGGCGGUGAUCUGGCUGCAACAUCUGUCAACCCAUUAAUCGCCAGCGUUGAUUCUGCUCAUCUGGCUGGCUAAGCAGGUGUCCCCUUCCUCUCUCACCACUCCAUGUGUGUCCCUCCAGAGCUGCAGGCUUGGUUGAAGAGGACAAACUUCCCUGAUAGAGGGAGACUAUUCUUCGAUCAGGGGUAUGUGACUAGCUGCCCUCCCCAGCUGGAACCUCCAAACAAGCUUACUUAGAGCUCACAGAACUGUAGGAAGUUUGAUAACGCUAUGAUCCCCAUUUUGUAAUUGAGGAAACUGACUUAGGGAGCUUCUGAAUCUUUGCUU